rnacentral:lncRNA from 1 species
GUGGAACUUGAAAAUUUAUAUAAUGUAACUACUGAGGAAGACACUAUGUCAGCAAAAGUAGAGCUAAUAAAUACAAAUAAAAACAACGAUCUUCAAUGUUUUUACAAAGCAACUGUAGCUAACAAAAAGUUGACAUCAAUGCAGCAUUCUUUAUCUACUAAGAAAUGAAAAGUUCUUAAAGCCUGUUAAGAUACAAUAACAGGUAAAUUGAUUCAUUCCUUGUUGUGGUUAAUAGUAGUUGUUAUAAUGUAACGGUUAAAUUCUUGAUACCAUUAUGACUUUUAAAAGUCAUAAAAUAGA